rnacentral:lncRNA from 1 species
UUUAAUAAUAGAUUUAAUUUUAUUUCUCUAUUAUGUAAAGUGCUUUUCCUGAAGAAAUGAGCUUUCAAAUUAUAUUUGAUUUAGGUUAAUAUUAAUGCCCUGUACAUCCUGAGUACAUGUUUCCAGAAAGAGGUGAUCCAGGAGGCUGCCAAGUGGCCUGCAGGUGACAUCCAGAGGGCAGAAAAUGCCCAUGCAGGUCCACGUGUGGGUCCUUAAGCCCCUUGAGGAAAAGGGAGGAGAAAAGGACAAAGAAGGCUCUCCCUUUCCCUUGGAUCCCCUUCUACUCCCACAUGCCUAGUGGGAGCCUCCCUCUUCUGCUUGAGCCUUCAGGACAGGUUCAGGACCCUGUCUCCUACCUGGCUGGGCCAGAAAUGAGGAACAUGUUGCAAGCCUUCCUCCACCUGACUUGCCAAGUCCAUACAGGCUGGGGCCUUAGAUCCAACAACUUAGAAAGGAAGCUGCUUGGACCUGAAGGUGGAGCUGAAUUUGAGCCUUUGCUGGAGGGUGCCCACACUCCUGUUCUUUAGAAGAAAGGGACGGCAGGAGUCUGAUCAUCUGUCCGAUGCCCACACAGUGGCUGUGCUGAGUGACGUGUUGUUUUGAGGAUGUCCCUACCCCCUGGUCUUGCCGUCGGUCUCCAGUACCCAGCGAAGCAAGCUGUGGGCUCUGAGGAGCUCACACCAGGGAGGAGCUGCCCUGGAGUGGAGCAACAGCAUGUCCUCUCCCCUGUGUGACUGCAGUGCUAUAAUAAUAAUAACAGAAAGCUGGCAUUUCUUGAGCUCUUACUGUGUGCCAGAGACACCGCUCUAAGUGCUUACACAUAUGUAUUCGUUUUCUGUAGUUGCUGUAACAAAUUAUCACAA